rnacentral:lncRNA from 1 species
GACUUGGUUAUGGCUUCAUAAAGAUGGAGUGCAGCAAGUACAAAAAUGGACCAGCUUGUUCAGUUUAAAUAUGAACUGGUCCUUUGAAUAUAAAAUAUCCAUAACCCUUAACCAAAAUUAUACAUAUUAUCUUCUAAAACUAUCGUCUUCAGAAUCUAAAUCGGAAAUUAACAAAUUAUUGGAACUGCAUUGCCAAUUUAGAGAUUAAUAGAACAUAUACCUCACAUAGAAGAAAUUUGUAAGUACUAUAGUUGAUGUACAUUAAAGUGAGGGAGUGAAGAACAAAAUGAAGUCAUAGUAGAUAGUGGCCCAGUCCAGAAAUAUCGAUCACAUAUACGGAAUUGCAAGUUAGGAAACUAAAUGCAUCACCAAGACCCAGUCAUGCACAGAUUGCAAUCAUAAAGAACCUUAAAACACAUUCGAACCUGCUUAUUUUGUUCUUAGCUUGAGCAAGUUAUUAAGUUGAAAAAAAAAAAGUAAAACUCAAGUAGUUUAUUAUUUCUCCAUUUUUUUGAUAUUCUUUAGUUUAUCAAGUCAAAGAGUUUCAUUCUUGAGGUAUCAUUUUUCCUAGAUCCCUCAUUGAUAGCACCAAGUAAAUUUCAGAUAUAAGGAAAGUGAAGCAAUAAUCGUAGCGCUUCGAUGGCUAACAUUGGCUAGCUUUUAGCUA